rnacentral:RNase_P_RNA from 1 species
GGAGUAAAUUAUACAGUCGCAUGCGUAAGCAUGAGGAAAGUCCGUGCUCCGCAGAGCAGGGUGCCGGGUAACACCCGGUGAGGGUGACCUCAAGGAUAGUGCAACAGAAAUAAACCGCCGUCAAACGGCAAGGAUGGAAAGGUGAGGUAAGAGCUCACCAGCGGUUAGGCGACUAAUCGGCUAUGUAAACCCCACCCGGAGCAAGACCAAGAACGGACCGCAGAGUGGCUGCUCGUCACAGUCCUAAUGGUAGGUCGCUGGAGCCUGUCGGCAACGCCAGGCGUAGAUAGAUGACUGUUUAAUACAGAACACGGCUUAUGUAUUUACUCUCUAC